UUGGCCACCCCAGCUUUACAGUAUGCAUAUUCUGUGUCGACCAUGGAGAGUACAUGAAGGGUCAUGAGAUGGUAACAAGAGAGAUGUCUUACCAUGACAGUAAUAUUCUUACUGUAUUUGUUUCUAUAGGAUGGGGAUAUACCACAGCAAAUAUUCAGUGAGAGUAAGAGAUGUGCUCAACUGGCUACCGAUCUGGGGCUGCAGGGUCAAUUAACAAUUUAAGGAAUCAAUUAAGCACCAGCUGUAUCAGGGUCUCCAUUGAAAUGCCACUGGAAUUGAAUGACACGAAAUGAAAAUGGAUCCUACAGACAUGCUGAGAAUAUAAGAUGCAGUAAAGAAGAAUGGAACAAUGCCACAGCAUAUAAGUAAAAAAUGAUUACGUUCUUUUAAUCAAAAUUUUUAAUGCCUGUUCUUGUCCAUUUAUAGUUUUGUCUAUUGCUUUAUAAAUGUAUACCACUCCAAAUGGUGCAUUGGACUGCACAGCCUUAAAACUGGACAGGCUAUUAAUAAGAUGGGUUCUUGGCAAUAUACACACCGUAAAAAGUCCAAUAUAUCAUUAUAGUGACUUUUGCAUAGGAGAUGGUUUUUCAUUAUA